CGGCGACCAUGGUGGUCGCGGCAGCUGCUGGGGCCGUGACAGGCCCGGCGGCAGCGGGCGAAUCCGAGUCGUAGUGCUGCGGGCCGCCGAGACCGACAUCUAGCAUGUCAACGUUGACGUCGUGCGACGCCGGAGGGGGCGGAGACGGGUCGGCGGCGAGGGGGAGGUUGAUGUCAGGGGGGGCGACCGCCGCGGCAUGUAGGCAGCGGCGGAAGGGCCCCUGUGGCUGGAGGAAGAGGUCGAAGUCGUCGUGGGAGGCGGUGUCCAUGGAGAGGAAGGUGGAGGGGCCCUGGUGCGGGUGGUGGGCCGUUGCGGUGUCCAUGGAGAGCGCGGUGAGCAGCGACUCGCCCAUGGCGGCGGCGGCGGCGGCGGCCGUCGUCCUCCUGGCGGCUCGCUCCUCGUCCGCCUGCUGCUCCCCUUCCGUCGCCGCCGCUACGCUGUCCAAAUCGUCGGCGCUUCCUCCUCCACCGCCUCCGC
rnacentral:lncRNA from 1 species